AUUGAACGCUGGCGGCAUGCCUUACACAUGCAAGUCGAACGGCAGCACGGGGGCAACCCUGGUGGCGAGUGGCGAACGGGUGAGUAAUAUAUCGGAACGUGCCCAGUCGUGGGGGAUCACGUAGCGAAAGUUACGCUAAUACCGCAUACGAUCUACGGAUGAAAGCGGGGGAUCGCAAGACCUCGCGCGAUUGGAGCGGCCGAUAUCAGAUUAGGUAGUUGGUGAGGUAAAGGCUCACCAAGCCAACGAUCUGUAGCUGGUCUGAGAGGACGACCAGCCACACUGGGACUGAGACACGGCCCAGACUCCUACGGGAGGCAGCAGUGGGGAAUUUUGGACAAUGGGCGCAAGCCUGAUCCAGCCAUUCCGCGUGCAGGACGAAGGCCUUCGGGUUGUAAACUGCUUUUGUACGGAACGAAAAAGCCUUGGCUAAUACCCAGGGUCCAUGACGGUACCGUAAGAAUAAGCACCGGCUAACUACGUGCCAGCAGCCGCCGUAA
rnacentral:rRNA from 1 species